UGAGUUGACAUUCACAUAACAGGAAUACGUUCACUCUCAACUCAACAUAGCUGAAUUUGGAACCUAUAUAUUAUUACGAUAUUAUUAUGCUAGUACGAUAUUAAGCACUUACUAUAUUUAUAAUUACUACGUGUUUAGAGUAUGGGAAUGUAACUCGCGCGUAUGUCGGCGUAAGUGCUUUUUCGGACUGUACAGAACAAGUGCCGGCACAGCUUCACCUUCCCUUUGCUACAAAGCGGGAAAAGAAUAGUUUGAUAUGGAGAGGAUCAGUGAUGCCUUUUUUUCUGAUUAGCGUGUUGAUGUGAAGAGUGUUGUAUUCAGUGAUGCCCCUUUUUCUUGUAUAGAAGUGUGGUAUUGAGUAGGUUAGUUCGGGCGACUGGAGUUCAUUUCGACAACUACUAUUACUUGUUUGGAAUCUUCAUCCAACUCCAUCUGCAAUUAAGCAUCUUUUAAAUCUUAUUUCAAAAAAUGUGUGCCGUGUCCAAUUGUUUGUAAUAGUGUCUCUCUUGAUGGCAAUGGAUAUUGCUCAAUAUCUAAUUGUGAAUUAAUUGCUAUUUUAAAAUCACCGCAUAUUCUAACUGACCCAUCUGGUUUUGGUGCUAAGUCACCAAUUGUGGCGCCCUAACCGGUUUCCAAAUUCCGGUAAUAAUAAGCCUAUCUGCUUCCUCAUGGAGUUUUGAAAUCUGGGCGAAUGGUAUUUGCCUGCUUUUAUAAAAUUUUGACGUGGCAGUGGCGUAUAUUUGCUUAAAAAUUUUGCGGUGGAAGUUGCAUUUGACAAACUCUCAGAGAUGACAACUAUGAACACUGAAAGUCAGUGUUGUACAAUGUUACGUUCAUGUCAUAUUGUUUAUUGAACAAUUUGAAAUAUUGGAACUCGUGCCAAUAAUUUUGACCUAAUGUUGCCGAUCCUUUUGUAGAGUUUUGUCUGUACCUCAGUUUCAGGGUUUCUUUGAUAAGCUGCUAGUUGUCUGCUUGAGGAAUGUUUGUUAUAGUGUCCUUUGCCUCGUUCGAUAAAAUACUGCCUUUAUUAUUCCUUUUUGUAGUUCACUGUUGUUGAUUGUGGAGAGUAAAUACUCCAUACUAAUAAAGAGCGAGUUGAUGGUUAUCAUUCCCGUUCCAGUAAAUAUAGACAGAUCGUUGACUGUUUUUAUAAGGCAUGUCUGCUACCAUUAUUUUUUUGCGUCUUAUUUCAUAACUAUAGAUAAGCUUGCCGAAUUUCCAAGAUGAGGGUUCUGACAGUGUGUUUGUCGAAGGUCCUGUGAAUAAUGCUACUUAGAAUAGUUUGCCAUUAAAUUAACAUAAAAAUAUUUUAAUGGCAAAUGAUAAUUGUACAUUUGUUGUGGUCUGCUCUUAGACACUUGUUUGUGGAAUAGCAACUUUCUUGGUUUAGAGCUAUUAUUGUCCACAUUAUCCAAAUCGUGUUUGCCUUUAUACUGCAUAUUCUUCUGUAGACUUCGUGGGGUUCCAGAUCUGGUUUUUAUCUUAAUUUCAACGCCUUCUUGAUGUCCGUCCAGUUGUCAGGGUGUGGAAGAUUUAUUAUUACGUCCUUUGCCUCCCCUUGUAUCGUCCUAUAAUAUAUUGCCCUGGUGGCUUCCUUUUUGACCUCUUCAUCUCUUAUAUUUGACAGCAUAUAUUCAAUGCUGCUCAUAAAGGAAUUUAUCGUUAUUUCACCAUUUCCCGUGAAUGUGGGUAUAUGUUGAAUAUUUUUUAUGACUCGUUGUAGUUCAUUUUCCUUGGUUGUUUGACUAUGUUGGAGGUCGACAUACGCUUGUCGAAGUUGCUCCAACUGUUGCUCUCUUCUAUUCAGUUGCUCGAUGAGCUCUACGUUGGGAAUCUGAAUCUGCUCCUGUUCCAUUAUUCUGUUGUUAUUGAAUAUUUUUUUUGCUGCCUCGAUGAUGAUGACUCCACGCUUUGUUUUUUUUUUCUUCUUGUUCACUGCAAAGCUUGUUUUUCCGUUAUUUUCGGUGGGUUAACGCCUUUAUUUAAGGUCGUUUUCACUGAGAAAAAUUAUUUUAUUUUAUUUUUGUUAUAUCCUGGAGGGUCUGGUCAACUUCCUGAGUUGGCUACAGAUUCGCAGGAUUUGUUUGGGUGUUAUAGUUACGUUUAUCACUAUCCUUGUAAUUUUUUUUCCAAGGAUUACCGACUGCGCCAAUUACGUGUUGAGUCGCGGUGAACGGGUUUUUAAAAAAGUCAAAAAAAUCAAAUUGUAUUGCAACGAGGUGACGUUGAUGGCGAUCAAGAACAGACUGCUUUAUUUAAUAAAAUUGACUUAAAAUGAAGCUUAUUCUAAUUACAAGUUGCUUAUUAAUAAUAUUAACUUACUUUUAACAUAUUAUUGCUGAAUAAGCAUACUUUUAUUAAUUUUGAUAAUUCUUAGGAAUUUCAAAAGCCG